rnacentral:rRNA from 1 species
AGAGUUUGAUCCUGGCUCAGGACGAACGCUGGAGGUAUGCCUCAUACAUGCAAGUCGUACGUGGUUUGGGUGCUUGCACCUAAAACCAAGUGGCGCACGGGUGAGUAACGCGUAGGUGACCUGCCCUGAAGUCUGGGAUAACAUUGGGAAACCAGUGCUAAUACCGGAUGUUAGGCAAUUGUUAAUUCGAUUGUCUCAAAGCAGCCCUCUAUUUAUAUGGUUGCACUUUGGGAUGGGCCUGCGUCCUAUUAGCUAGUAGGUGGGGUAAGAGCCUACCUAGGCAGAGAUGGGUAGCUGGCUUGAGAGAGUGACCAGCCACACUGGAACUGAGACACGGUCCAGACUCCUACGGGAGGCAGCAGUAGGGAAUAUUCCGCAAUGGGGGCAACCCUGACGGAGCAAUACCUCGUGAGUGAUGAAGGGUUUAGGCUCGUAAAGCUCAGUCAGUAGGGAAGAAGGCGUAUGAUAUGAAUAAUGCUGUGCGUUUGACGGUACCUGCAGAGGAAGCCACGGCUAAUUACGUGCCAGCAGCCGCGGUAAUACGUAAGUGGCGAGCGUUGUCCGGAAUUACUGGGCGUAAAGAACACGUAGGCGGUUGAAAAAGUCGGUAGUGAAAUCUCCGGGCUUAACUUGGAAAUUGCUAUUGAAACUGAUUGACUAGAGUGUCGGAGGGGAAAGCAGAAUUUCACGUGUAGCGGUGAAAUGCGUAGAGAUGUGAGAGAAUACCAGAGGCGAAAGCGGCUUUCUGGACAACAACUGACGCUGAGGUGUGAAAGCGUGGGUAGCGAACAGGAUUAGAUACCCUGGUAGUCCACGCUGUAAACGAUGGGUACUAGCUGUGGGAUUUUUAUUCUGCGGCGAAGUUAACGCAUUAAGUACCCCGCCUGGGGAGUACGGUCGCAAGAUUAAAACUCAAAGGAAUUGACGGGGGCCCGCACAAGCGGUGGAGUAUGUGGUUUAAUUCGAUGCAACGCGAAGAACCUUACCUGGGUUUGACAUCCGACGCUACGUAUAGAGAUAUGCGGUUCGGUGGCGACACCGACGUCGAGACAGGUGGUGCAUGGUUGUCGUCAGCUCGUGUCGUGAGAUGUUCGGUUAAGUCCGGCAACGAGCGCAACCCUUGCCUUUAGUUGCCAGCGCGUAAUGGUGGGAACUUUAGAGGGACUGUCUGUUUGUGCAGAAGGAAGGUGGGGAUGACGUCAAAUCAGCAUGCCCCUUAUGUCCAGGGCUACACACGUACUACAAUGGCCGGUACAAUGAGGAGCGAUACUGCGAGGUGGAGCAAAUCUCUAAAAGCCGGUCUAAGUUCGGAUUGGAGUCUGCAACUCGACUCCAUGAAGUUGGAAUCGCUAGUAAUCGCGGAUCAGCAUGCCGCGGUGAAUACGAUCCCGGGCCUUGUACACACCGCCCGUCACACCACCCGAGUUAAAUGCACCCGAAGUGGCUGACCCAACCCGCAAGGGAGGGAGGUUCCUAAGGAGUGUUUGGUAAGGGGGGUGAAGUCGUAACAAGGUA